GACAGAGGUGCCAAGCGUUAGGCGGAAUCACUGGGCUUAAAGCGUGUGUAGGCGGAUGCCUAAGUACCUUGUGAAAUCCCCCGGCUCAACCGGGGAACGGCUGGGUAUACUGGGUGUCUUGGGUCAUCUAGGGGCUGCCGGAACAAAUGGUGGAGCGGUGAAAUGCGUAGAUAUCAUUUGGAACGCCAACGGCGAAAGCAAGCAGCUGGGGAUGCACCGACGCUGAGACACGAAAGCCAGGGGAGCGAACGGG
rnacentral:rRNA from 1 species